ACGCUCGACACCUACGGGAGGAGCAGUGGGGAAUAUUGCACAAUGGGGGAAACCCUGAUGCAGCGACGCCGCGUGAAGGAAGAAGUAUCUCGGUAUGUAAACUUCUAUCAGCAGGGAAGAAAGUGACGGUACCUGACUAAGAAGCCCCGGCUAACUACGUGCCAGCAGUCGCGGUAAUCUGAGCGGGCUGGCAAGGC
rnacentral:rRNA from 1 species